GAUGAACGCUGGCGGCGUGCCUAAUACAUGCAAGUCGAGCGAACGGACGAGAAGCUUGCUUCUCUGAUGUUAGCGGCGGACGGGUGAGUAACACGUGGAUAACCUACCUAUAAGACUGGGAUAACUUCGGGAAACCGGAGCUAAUACCGGAUAAUAUUUUGAACCGCAUGGUUCAAAAGUGAAAGACGGUCUUGCUGUCACUUAUAGAUGGAUCCGCGCUGCAUUAGCUAGUUGGUAAGGUAACGGCUUACCAAGGCAACGAUGCAUAGCCGACCUGAGAGGGUGAUCGGCCACACUGGAACUGAGACACGGUCCAGACUCCUACGGGAGGCAGCAGUAGGGAAUCUUCCGCAAUGGGCGAAAGCCUGACGGAGCAACGCCGCGUGAGUGAUGAAGGUCUUCGGAUCGUAAAACUCUGUUAUUAGGGAAGAACAUAUGUGUAAGUAACUGUGCACAUCUUGACGGUACCUAAUCAGAAAGCCACGGCUAACUACGUGCCAGCAGCCGCGGUAAUACGUAGGUGGCAAGCGUUAUCCGGAAUUAUUGGGCGUAAAGCGCGCGUAGGCGGUUUUUUAAGUCUGAUGUGAAAGCCCACGGCUCAACCGUGGAGGGUCAUUGGAAACUGGAAAACUUGAGUGCAGAAGAGGAAAGUGGAAUUCCAUGUGUAGCGGUGAAAUGCGCAGAGAUAUGGAGGAACACCAGUGGCGAAGGCGACUUUCUGGUCUGUAACUGACGCUGAUGUGCGAAAGCGUGGGGAUCAAACAGGAUUAGAUACCCUGGUAGUCCACGCCGUAAACGAUGAGUGCUAAGUGUUAGGGGGUUUCCGCCCCUUAGUGCUGCAGCUAACGCAUUAAGCACUCCGCCUGGGGAGUACGACCGCAAGGUUGAAACUCAAAGGAAUUGACGGGGACCCGCACAAGCGGUGGAGCAUGUGGUUUAAUUCGAAGCAACGCGAAGAACCUUACCAAAUCUUGACAUCCUUUGACAACUCUAGAGAUAGAGCCUUCCCCUUCGGGGGACAAAGUGACAGGUGGUGCAUGGUUGUCGUCAGCUCGUGUCGUGAGACGUUGGGUUAAGUCCCGCAACGAGCGCAACCCUUAAGCUUAGUUGCCAUCAUUAAGUUGGGCACUCUAAGUUGACUGCCGGUGACAAACCGGAGGAAGGUGGGGAUGACGUCAAAUCAUCAUGCCCCUUAUGAUUUGGGCUACACACGUGCUACAAUGGACAAUACAAAGGGCAGCGAAACCGCGAGGUCGAGCAAAUCCCAUAAAGUUGUUCUCAGUUCGGAUUGUAGUCUGCAACUCGACUACAUGAAGCUGGAAUCGCUAGUAAUCGUAGAUCAGCAUGCUACGGUGAAUACGUUCCCGGGUCU
rnacentral:rRNA from 1 species